rnacentral:sRNA from 1 species
UACUGGUGUUGACGGCUGCAUUAUGUCC